rnacentral:rRNA from 1 species
UACGGAGGGGGUUAGCGUUGUUCGGAAUUACUGGGCGUAAAGCGCGCGUAGGCGGACUAUUAAGUCAGGGGGUGAAAUCCCGGGGGCUCAAACCCCCGGAACUGCCUUUGAUACUGGUAGUCUUGAGUUCGAGAGAGGUGAGUGGAACUCCGAGUGUAGAGGUGAAAUUCGUAGAUAUUCGGAAGAACACCAGUGGCGAAGGCGGCUCACUGGCUCGAUACUGACGCUGAGGUGCGAAAGUGUGGGGAGCAAACAGGAUUAGAUACCCGGGUAGUCC